CCUACGGGGGGCAGCAGUGGGGAAUAUUGGACAAUGGGGGCAACCCGGAUCCAGCCAUGCCGCGUGUGUGAAGAAGGCCCUCGGGUUGUAAAGCACUUUCAGUGAGGAAGAACGCCUGGUGGUUAAUACCCAUCAGGAAAGACAUCACUCACAGAAGAAGCACCGGCUAACUCCGUGCCAGCAGCCGCGGUAAUACGGAGGGUGCGAGCGUUAAUCGGAAUUACUGGGCGUAAAGCGCGCGUAGGUGGCUUGAUAAGCCGGUUGUGAAAGCCCCGGGCUCAACCUGGGAACGGCAUCCGGAACUGUCAAGCUAGAGUGCAGGAGAGGAAGGUAGAAUUCCCGGUGUAGCGGUGAAAUGCGUAGAGAUCGGGAGGAAUACCAGUGGCGAAGGCGGCCUUCUGGACUGACACUGACACUGAGGUGCGAAAGCGUGGGUAGCAAACAGGAUUAGAUACCCCGGUAGUC
rnacentral:rRNA from 1 species